AUACAUAGACCAGCUAAUCUCAAUCCUCCUACUAAAUUCACCAUAUCAGAUCUGGUGGACUAGAAAUAAGUCGGUCCAACUGACAAGUCAUCAAUCCUCCCACUGACUUCAACAAGUCAUGUCGAGGAUAAAGACAAGUCAAACUAAGGACACCUAAAUCAGUUAAACUGAUUUUUUUAGUAAACAUGGGUCAACCCUAAUCAUUAAGCAAUUUGAUUAAAACUUGAUUCACCAUGUUGGUCAGA
rnacentral:lncRNA from 1 species